rnacentral:rRNA from 1 species
CGUACUGGCAUUGUUGGUUUCUCCCUUCUGACGAACCAUGAUGUCAUUUAUUUGGUGUUAUGGGGAAUCAGGACUGUUACUUUGAAAAAAUUAGAGUGUUUAAAGCAGGCUCACGCUUGAAUACAUUAGCAUGGAAUAAUGAAAUAGGACGUUUGAUUCUAUUUUGUUGGUUUCUAGGAUCGACGUAAUGAUUAAUAGGGAUAGUUGGGGGCAUUAGUAUUCAAUUGUCAGAGGUGAAAUUCUUGGAUUUAUUGAAGACUAACUACUGCGAAAGCAUUUGCCAAGGAUGUUUUCAUUAAUCAAGAACGAAAGUUAGGGGAUCGAAGACGAUCAGAUACCGUCGUAGUCUUAGCCAUAAACUAUGCCGACUAGGGAUCGGAUGAUGUUAAUUUUUUAAUGACUCAUUCGGCGCCUUACG